UUUCAGUUCCAAGACACUGCCCAAAAUAGUGGGUAAAAAUAGCUUGACACAAUAGAUUUAACCUAUGGUUUUAGCUUGAAAUUGCAUCUCCUUUAAUGGUGUAAGUAUCUAGCCCAAGCUUUAAUUCUAUCAAUUAACCAACAGUUAAGCAAAACAGUCCUUUAAGGACUUUUAUCAAACAGUUUGGGUACAUAGUUUUCAGCUACCAGUUUCGCAGCCAUCUAUUUAUGUCACUAACCCAUUUUGUUCUCCUUAUUACUCUUAAGCCCAUCCUAUCUCCUCUACUCAAAUUCAGUACAUAAUAAU
rnacentral:lncRNA from 1 species